rnacentral:lncRNA from 1 species
UAAUAACUAAUAUUAUUGAAAAAUGACAUUAAUACAGAUAAUUUUAAUCAUGCAUAAUUGUACAUUUAAAAUAAUCAUUAAUGAUUAAUAACGUUAUACUAUUAAUUAAUAUUACCAUUGAUAAUUAUUAAGACUGAUGUUUAACAAUUAAUAAUAUUAUUAAGAUUGAUGCUUAAUAAUUAAUCGUAUUAUUUCUCCUAAUACCGCAGGGGGUGUACACCUACCCGUGAUAUUGUUCCUAAUAUCCAGGGAUGGAGAGCAUGAUAUUAGUUUUAAUAUCUCAGUAGGUGUACACUCACCCUGUGACACUGAUCCUAAUAUCCAGGGAGUAGAGUAUGACAUGACUCCCAACAUAGCAAUGAAUGUACAGCCACCCGGUGAUAUUGCUCCUAGUAUUCACGGAAGAAGCGUAGGAUAUUACUUCCAAAAUCGCAGGGAGUGUACACCUCUUCUGUGAUAUUGUUCCUGGUAUCCCGAGGGGGAGAGGAUGAUAAUAAUUCCAGUAUCGCAGGCUGUGAUCACCCACCCUGUGAUAUUGUUAUUAACAUCCUGAAAGGGAGAGGAUGAUAUUACUCCCCGUAAUAGAUAGAUAUUACUCCCCAUAACAGAGCAGGAGGUGUACACCCACCCUGUGAUAUUGUUCCUAAUAUUCAGAGGCCGAGAGGUCGAUAUUACUCCCAAUAUGGCAGGAAGUGUACACCCCCGUGUGAGAUGGUCCUUAAUAAUAUUCCAAGGCGGAGGGGGAGAUAUUACUCCCAAAAUCGCAGAAAGUGUACACCCCCAGGGAUAUUGUUCUCAUGAUCCUGGAGGGAAGAGGAUGAUAUCACUUUAAAUAUCACAGAAGGUGUGCACGCCCCCACUGAUAUCGGUUCUAAUUUCCACGUGGGAGAGGAGGAUGUGACGCCCAAUCACACCUGCAGUAGAAACACAGCUGUGAUACUGUUCUUAAUAUUCAGGGAGGAAGACGAUGAUAUUACUCCCAAAACAGACGGCUGUACACCCUCUGCACACCGAGGGUCUACCCCCAUCUGUGAAAUAGUUUAUAAUUUCCAGAGGGGGAGAUGAUAUCACUCCGAAUAUCGUAAACAGGCUGCUUCGGUAGAUUGCAAAUGACCUGCUUUCUUUCGGAUCCCGGGCUGCUUUCGGACACCUGUCGAAUAGUAAAUCCCAAGUAAGGUACCUGCGGUCGUCGGCAGAUCUGAAUUUUCUUCUUGGACACCUAAUACCCACAGUCCUCCAGAGACCGAGAGGUUGAUGUCACUCCCAAUAUCGGAGGAAGUAUACACCCCCGUGUGAGAUGGUCCUUAAUAAUAUUCCACGGCGGAGGGGGUGAUAUGACUACAUACAUGGCAGAAAGUGGAAACCUCCCAGGGAUAUUGUUCCCACGAUCCUGGAGGGAAGAAGAUGAUGUUACUUUCAAUAUGACAGAAGGUGGAUGAAGUGGUGGACUGCCCCUCCACACCUGUGAGUAUUUCUAGUUGGGUGGGUGGGAGGAGAGACUGAGAAAAGAAAUAAGACACAGAGACAAAGUGUAAAGAUACAACAGUGGGUCCAGGGGACCGGCGCUCAGCACACCAAGGACCUGCACCGGCACCAGCCUCUGAGUUCCUUCAGUUUUUAUUGAUUAUGAUUUUCAUUAUUUUAGCAGAAAGGAAUGUAGUAGGAAAGCAGGGUGAUGAUAAGGAGAGAGUCUGCAGAAGACAUGUGAGCAAAAGAAUCUAUGUCAUAAUUAGGUUCAAGGGAAGGUACUAUGACUGGACGUGCACGUAAGCCAGAUUUGUUUCUCUCCACCCAAACAUCUCAGUGGAGUAAAGAAUAACAAGGCAGUGUUACUGCAAACAUGUCUCGCCUCCCGCCACAGGGCAGCUUUUCCCCUAUCUCAGAGUUGAACGAAUGUACAAUCGGGUUUUACACCGAGACAUUCAGUUCCCAGGGGCAAGCAGGAGAUAGUGGCCUUCCUCCACCUCAGCUGCAAGAGGCUUUCCUCUUUUACUAAUCCACCUCAGCACAGACCCUUUACGGGUGUCGGGCUGGGGGACAGUCAGGUCUUUCUCAUCCCAUGAGGCUAUAUUUCAGACUAUCACAUGGGGAGAAAGCUUGGACGAUACCCUGCUUUCAAGGGCAGAGGUCCCUGCGGCUUUCCACAGUGCAUUGUGCCCCUGGUUUAUUGAGACUAGAGAAUGGCGAUGACUUUUACCAAGUAUACUGCUGGUAAACAUUUUGUUAACAAGGUGGACACGCCCCCACUGAUAUUCCUUCUAAUUGCAGCGUGGGAGAGGAGGAUAUGACACGCGAUAUCGCAGGGAGUAGAAACACCCCUGUGAUACUGUUCUUAAUAUUCAGGGAGGAAGAGGAUGAUAUUACUCCCAAUACAGACGGGUGUACACCCUCUGUACACCGAGGGUGUACACCUGUCUGUGAAAGAGUUCGUAAUCUCCAGAGGGGGAGAUGAUAUUACUCACAAUAUGGUAAAGAGGCUGUGAGUCCACGGAGGAUCCUCAGAGCCAGCGGGGGAAGAGGGGCUGGCUCUCAGUCCCCGCCUCGCGGGGGUGACUCCCCCCAGUGCGAUGGGGGUCCUAAGAGCCAGUGGGGGAAGAGGGGCUGGCUCUGAGACCCCGCCUCGCGGGGGGUGCCUCCCCGCCCUGUGAUGGGGGUCCGAAGAGCCAGAAGGCUUAGAGGGGCUGGCUCUCAGUCCCCGCCUCGCGGGGGGUGCCUCCUCCCCCUGCGAUGGGGGUCGUAAGAGCCACUGGGGGAAUAGGGGCUUGCUCUCAGUCACCGCCUCGCGGGGGGUGCCUCCUUUCCUUUCUACAUAGACACAGUGACAGUCUGAUCUCUCUUUCUUUUCCCUACAGAUGGACACGCCCCCACUGAUAUUGUUUUUAAUGCAGCGUGGGAGGGGAGGAUAUGACACGCGAUAUCGCAGGUAGUAGAAACACCCCUUUGAUAGUGUUCUUAAUAUUCAGGGAGGAAGAAGAUGAUGUUACUCCCAAUACAGACGGAUGUACACCCUCUGUACACCGAGGGUGUACACCCGUCUGUGAAGGAGUUCGUAAUCUCCAGAGGUGGAGAUGAUAUUACUCACAAUAUGGUAAACAGGCUGUGAGUCCAUCGCGGAUCCUCAGAGCCAGGUGGGGAAGAGGGGCUGGCUGUCAGUCCCCUCCUCGCGGGGGGUGCCUCCCCCACUGCUAUGGGGAUCCCAAGAGCCAGUGGGGGAAGAGGUGCUGGCUCUCAGUCUCCGCCUCGCGAGGUGCCUCCCCACCCUGCGAUCGGGGUCCGAAGAGCCAGGGGGGAAGAGGGGCUGGCUCUCUUCGUGGAUGAUUCUUUUUCCAUUCUCAGGCAGUUUUCUUUUUUCUUUCUUUCUUUUUUUUUUUUUUUGAGACUGAGUCUUGCUCUGUUGCCCAUGCUUUGCUCGAUCUCGGGUGACUGCAACCACUGCCUCCCAGGUUCAAGAGAUUCUCCUGCCUCAGCCUCCUGAGUAGCUGGGACUAGAGGCGUGUGUCACCACACCCAGCUAAUUUUUGUAUUUUUAGUAGAGAUGGGGUUUCACCAUGUUUGCCAGGAUGGUCUCUAUCUCCUGCCCUUGUGAUCCACCCACCUCAGCCUCCCAAAGUGCUGGGAUUGCAGGUGCGAGCCACCGGGUCCAGCCUCUCAGGCGAUUUUCAUACCUGCAUACUCUGGUCACUACUCUGUUAAACAGUCAAGGAGGCUGAGUGCCACGUGCUGACGUCACUAAGAUCAAUACAGCAAACUCUGAAAGAUGGACAGAGAGACAGGAGAUGGUCCUUUAUAAUGCAGUGUGAUCUGUGCUGCAAUAGAGUUUUGGAAGCUAGAAGUUCAAAACGAGGUGUUGGCAGCACCAUGCUCUCUCUGAAGAUGCUAGGAAGAAUCUGCUCCAUGCCUUUCCAUUCGCUUCUGGGGUUUCCUGCAAGCCCUGACAUUCCUUGGCUUGUAGAUGCAUCACCCCAGUUUCCGCCCCCAUCAUCACAUGGCCUCCUCUCUGUGUGUGCCUCUGCGUUCCCUCUAUUCUUCUUCUAAGGACACCGACACCAGUCAUAGUGGAUUAAGUGUCCACUCCUAACCAAUUACAUCUGCAACAACCCUAUUUCCAAAUAAAGUCACAUUCUAAGAUUCCUAGGGAGAACAUGAAUUUUUGGGGGUGUGUGGAUACUGUUCAACCUGGGACAUGGAGUAAAUAAAUGGCAAGGAAGAUUAC